UUCCCAUCCCACCCCCUGGCCAUUUUCCUGUUCUGAGCAAAUUCAAAAUACUUGGCUCGAAAUGACUGAUGAGUCACCAUGCAUGUUUUUUUUUUCCAAGUUCCAAACGCUAGAAUGAGCAUGCUUCUCAUAGCUGUGCUUAACUUGAAGAGAUGGAGCUAAUUUGGCUUUGCCUCUAAGGGAGGAACCUGUGUGGGGUUAAGAGCACUCAGAUCAUGGGAAGCUUUAAGGAGUCUUAAAAGGAAGCUUGAGAUGGUGUAGGGAGAGGGUCGGUGGCCUUCUGUUGUUGGAAUGUUUUGAGUCUCAUAUGGAAUGGAGAAAGGAUGAUGAACAGUUGCAGGGUACAGCAACAGAAUUUCACCACCUUUAUUGAGUCAUGUCUGGAACUUCAGCACAAUUCUGCCUCCUCCAGGCAUCAGUGAGAGGCACGUCCGUUACUGCCCUCACCUCCCUUUCUUGUCCUCACCUCUUCAUUUGCGCUUUGGACUGGACUGGCACCCAUUAUUCUGUGACCUCUAUGGAUGAAGUACAGGGAAUCUGCAGCUUUUGGUGAGCACACUCACCUGGUCCUCCCUGCCAGAUGGAGCCUGGGCGCUGCCCCCCAGAGGACGCGUCCUGACACCCCCAGAGGCCUGGGGAGCCAUUCUCCAUCUGGUGAUCUGGAAUGGAAGUCCAAGGACAGCAGAGAAGGUCUGAGAUGUGACAACAGCUGCGAGAGCAACUGCGGUCCCUCUGUCCCUCCAGCAUGUCACACCCACCACAGCUCUGCCUGGUGGCCAGGCAAGUGGAGGAAGUCAGUACAGAGGAUGGGCCUUUUCCUCCAUCCCGUCCGCCCUCUGUUCCAUCCUCCGCAGCCAGCCUGACUUUGUGAUGACCUCUGCAGUCCCGCCUUUGCAUUCUGCAGUGCCCCGGGUUUGCAAUGACACGCUGCAUUUCUCCACAAGUUUUCAUUUCUGUGGCGCCAAGGCUGGGGAGCUUCAGAGGGCCAGGCUGCUCUGUAACUAACGUCACUGUGUAAUCUGCCUAAGCCUUGACUAAUGCAUUCCUUGCAUUAUUAAACACAGAUUAAAUAUA